AUGGACCAAUCCAUCCCUUUUUCUCGCGCAUAUGCAUCAGACUCCGAUGAUGAUGGUCCCGAUGAAGAAAUUGAUGAGGAGGGGUUCACGCCCAAGGAGGCCCAAGCAUUUAAGAAGGUAUUCGGGCGGGGUCACAAGACACCAUUGUUCAGGGAUCUUAGUCUUGUGGAUGAAGCCACUGUAGAUGGUGGCAAAUGUAUAUCUCUUGGAUGUAGGCCAAGUUCUCACCGUGAUUUGGAAGACGGCAAGAACGGGAUAUAUCUUGGUUGUGAGUUUCAAUCCUUCUUGGAUUGA
rnacentral:rRNA from 1 species